AUUGAACGCUGGCGGCAUGCUUUACACAUGCAAGUCGAACGGCAGCACGGGGGCAACCCUGGUGGCGAGUGGCGAACGGGUGAGUAAUAUAUCGGAACAUGUCCGGAAGUGGGGGAUAACGUAGCGAAAGUUACGCUAAUACCGCAUAUGCCCUGAGGGGGAAAGGAGGGGAUCGCAAGACCUUUCGCUUUCGGAGUGGCCGAUAUCAGAGUUAGCUAGUUGGUGGGGUAAAGGCCUACCAAGGCGACGAUCUGUAGCUGGUCUGAGAGGACGACCAGCCACACUGGGACUGAGACACGGCCCAGACUCCUACGGGAGGCAGCAGUGGGGAAUUUUGGACAAUGGGGGGAACCCUGAUCCAGCCAUGCCGCGUGUGUGAAGAAGGCCUUAUGGUUGUAAAGCACUUUAAGCGAGGAGGAGGCUCUUUUGGUUAAUACCCAGAAUGAGUGGACGUUACUCGCAGAAUAAGCACCGGCUAACUCUGUGCCAGCAGCCGCCGUAAUAC
rnacentral:rRNA from 1 species